rnacentral:rRNA from 1 species
UGGGGAAUCUUGCGCAAUGGGCGAAAGCCUGACGCAGCCAUGCCGCGUGUAUGAUGAAGGUCUUAGGAUUGUAAAAUACUUUCACCGGGGAAGAUAAUGACGGUACCCGGAGAAGAAGCCCCGGCUAACUUCGUGCCAGCAGCCGCGGUAAUACGAAGGGGGCUAGCGUUGCUCGGAAUUACUGGGCGUAAAGGGCGCGUAGGCGGAUAUUUAAGUCGGGGGUGAAAGCCCAGGGCUCAACCCUGGAAUUGCCUUCGAUACUGGAUAUCUUGAGUUCGGGAGAGGUGAGUGGAAUGCCGAGUGUAGAGGUGAAAUUCGUAGAUAUUCGGCGGAACACCAGUGGCGAAGGCGACUCACUGGCCCGAUACUGACGCUGAGGCGCGAAAGCGUGGGGAGCAAACAG